rnacentral:misc_RNA from 1 species
AUCACAACCAGAACUAGUGCAUAAGGAGCUUGUUGGGAAGAGAAAAGUUAUGACAUCUGAGUUGUAUGAAGCUGUUGAAAAAGGAGACGUGGAAAACUUCGUGGACGCGUUGCAGAGAACAUGUGAUGAAAGGAGAACACCCUUGCAUGCUAUUUUCGAUCAAGUUACCUGCGCAGGUGAUUCAUUGCUUCAUGUGGCA